GGGUUGUGAGGUUAAGCGACUAAGCGUACACGGUGGAUGCCCUGGCAGUCAGAGGCGAUGAAGGACGUGCUAAUCUGCGAAAAGCGCCGGCGAGGUGAUAUGAACCUUUGACCCGGCGAUGUCCGAAUGGGGAAACCCAGUGUGAUUCGUCACACUAUCGUUAACUGAAUACAUAGGUUAACGAGGCGAACCGGGGGAACUGAAACAUCUAAGUACCCCGAGGAAAAGAAAUCAACCGAGAUUCCCCCAGUAGCGGCGAGCGAACGGGGAGCAGCCCAGAGUCUGAAUCAGCUUGUGUGUUAGUGGAAGCGUCUGGAAAGUCGCACGGUACAGGGUGACAGUCCCGUACACGAAAGCACACAGGUUGUGAACUCGAAGAGUAGGGCGGGACACGUGGUAUCCUGUCUGAAUAUGGGGGGACCAUCCUCCAAGGCUAAAUACUCCUGACUGACCGAUAGUGAACCAGUACCGUGAGGGAAAGGCGAAAAGAACCCCGGCGAGGGGAGUGAAACAGAACCUGAAACCGUGUACGUACAAGCAGUGGGAGCACCUUCGUGGUGUGACUGCGUACCUUUUGUAUAAUGGGUCAGCGACUUAUAUUCUGUAGCAAGGUUAACCGUAUAGGGGAGCCGAAGGGAAACCGAGUCUUAACUGGGCGUUAAGUUGCAGGGUAUAGACCCGAAACCCGGUGAUCUAGCCAUGGGCAGGUUGAAGGUUGGGUAACACUAACUGGAGGACCGAACCGACUAAUGUUGAAAAAUUAGCGGAUGACUUGUGGCUGGGGGUGAAAGGCCAAUCAAACCGGGAGAUAGCUGGUUCUCCCCGAAAGCUAUUUAGGUAGCGCCUCGUGAACUCAUCUUCGGGGGUAGAGCACUGUUUCGGCUAGGGGGCCAUCCCGGCUUACCAACCCGAUGCAAACUACGAAUACCGAAGAAUGUUAUCACGGGAGACACACGGCGGGUGCUAACGUCCGUCGUGAAGAGGGAAACAACCCAGACCGCCAGCUAAGGUCCCAAAGUCAUGGUUAAGUGGGAAACGAUGUGGGAAGGCACAGACAGCCAGGAUGUUGGCUUAGAAGCAGCCAUCAUUUAAAGAAAGCGUAAUAGCUCACUGGUCGAGUCGGCCUGCGCGGAAGAUGUAACGGGGCUAAACCAUGCACCGAAGCUGCGGCAGCGACACUAUGUGUUGUUGGGUAGGGGAGCGUUCUGUAAGCCGUUGAAGGUGGCCUGUGAGGGUUGCUGGAGGUAUCAGAAGUGCGAAUGCUGACAUAAGUAACGAUAAAGCGGGUGAAAAGCCCGCUCGCCGGAAGACCAAGGGUUCCUGUCCAACGUUAAUCGGGGCAGGGUGAGUCGACCCCUAAGGCGAGGCCGAAAGGCGUAGUCGAUGGGAAACAGGUUAAUAUUCCUGUACUUGGUGUUACUGCGAAGGGGGGACGGAGAAGGCUAUGUUAGCCGGGCGACGGUUGUCCCGGUUUAAGCAUGUAGGCGGAGGUUCCAGGUAAAUCCGGUACCUUUUAACGCUGAGGUGUGAUGACGAGGCACUACGGUGCUGAAGUAACAAAUGCCCUGCUUCCAGGAAAAGCCUCUAAGCAUCAGGUAACAUCAAAUCGUACCCCAAACCGACACAGGUGGUCAGGUAGAGAAUACCAAGGCGCUUGAGAGAACUCGGGUGAAGGAACUAGGCAAAAUGGUGCCGUAACUUCGGGAGAAGGCACGCUGAUAUGUAGGUGAAGCCCCUGCGGGUGGAGCUGAAAUCAGUCGAAGAUACCAGCUGGCUGCAACUGUUUAUUAAAAACACAGCACUGUGCAAACACGAAAGUGGACGUAUACGGUGUGACGCCUGCCCGGUGCCGGAAGGUUAAUUGAUGGGGUUAGCGGUAACGCGAAGCUCUUGAUCGAAGCCCCGGUAAACGGCGGCCGUAACUAUAACGGUCCUAAGGUAGCGAAAUUCCUUGUCGGGUAAGUUCCGACCUGCACGAAUGGCGUAAUGAUGGCCAGGCUGUCUCCACCCGAGACUCAGUGAAAUUGAACUCGCUGUGAAGAUGCAGUGUACCCGCGGCAAGACGGAAAGACCCCGUGAACCUUUACUAUAGCUUGACACUGAACACUGGUCCUUGAUGUGUAGGAUAGGUGGGAGGCUUUGAAGUGUGGACGCCAGUCUGCAUGGAGCCGUCCUUGAAAUACCACCCUUUAAUGGCUGGUGUUCUAACGUAGACCCGUGAUCCGGGUUGCGGACAGUGUCUGGUGGGUAGUUUGACUGGGGCGGUCUCCUCCCAAAGAGUAACGGAGGAGCACGAAGGUUAGCUAAUCCUGGUCGGACAUCAGGAGGUUAGUGCAAUGGCAUAAGCUAGCUUGACUGCGAGAGUGACGGCUCGAGCAGGUGCGAAAGCAGGUCAUAGUGAUCCGGUGGUUCUGAAUGGAAGGGCCAUCGCUCAACGGAUAAAAGGUACUCCGGGGAUAACAGGCUGAUACCGCCCAAGAGUUCAUAUCGACGGCGGUGUUUGGCACCUCGAUGUCGGCUCAUCACAUCCUGGGGCUGAAGUAGGUCCCAAGGGUAUGGCUGUUCGCCAUUUAAAGUGGUACGCGAGCUGGGUUUAGAACGUCGUGAGACAGUUCGGUCCCUAUCUGCCGUGGGCGCUGGAGAAUUGAGGGGGGCUGCUCCUAGUACGAGAGGACCGGAGUGGACGCAUCACUGGUGUUCGGGUUGUCAUGCCAAUGGCACUGCCCGGUAGCUAAAUGCGGAAAAGAUAAGUGCUGAAAGCAUCUAAGCACGAAACUUGCCCCGAGAUGAGUUCUCCCUGAGACUUUAAGUCUCCUGAAGGAACGUUGAAGACGACGACGUUGAUAGGUCGGGUGUGUAAGCGCAGCGAUGCGUUGAGCUAACCGAUACUAAUGAACCGUGAGGCUUAACCUUACAACGCCGAAG
rnacentral:rRNA from 1 species